AUCUGGCUCAGGAUGAACGCUGGCGGCGUGCUUAACACAUGCAAGUCGAGCGAAGCGCUUUGGAAAGAUUCUUCGGAUGAUUUCCUUUGUGACUGAGCGGGCGACGGGUGAAGGUAACGCGUGGGUAACCUGCCUCAUACAGGGGGAUAACAGUUAGAAAUGACUGCUAAUACCGCAUAAGACCACGGUACCGCAUGGUACAGUGGUAAAAACUCCGGUGGUAUGAGAUGGACCCGCGUCUGAUUAGG
rnacentral:rRNA from 1 species